AAUGGACGAGAGUCUGACGCAGCAACGCCGCGUGGGUGAUGAAGGUCUUCGGACUGUAAAACCCUGUCGUCAGGGACGAAGGUGGCAGGACUAAUAAUCCUGUUACUUGACGGUACCUGGAGAGGAAGCCCCGGCUAACUCUGUGCCAGCAGCCGCGGUAAUACAGAGGGGGCAAGCGUUAUUCGGAAUUAUUGGGCGUAAAGGGCGCGUAGGCGGUUUUUUAAGUCAGAUGUGUAAUCCCCGGGCUCAACCUGGGAACUGCAUCUGAGACUGGAAGGCUAGAGUACUGGAGAGGGUGGUGGAAUUCCUCGUGUAGCGGUGAAAUGCGUAGAGAUGAGGAGGAACACCAGUGGCGAAGGCGGCCACCUGGACAGUAACUGACGCUGAGGCGCGAAAGUGUGGGUAGCAAA
rnacentral:rRNA from 1 species